rfam:Myotis lucifugus cont2.35164, whole genome shotgun sequence.
UGUGCACUGGUGGGGUCCCUCGGCCUGGCCUGCGCCCUCUCGCAAUCUGGGACCUUUCAGGGGAUGUCAGACAGCCAGUUUCGGCCUGAUCCCGCAGGCCAGGCUGAGGGACCCCACCGGUGCACG